rnacentral:rRNA from 1 species
GUAAGGAAUAUUGGACAAUGGAGGCAACUCUGAUCCAGCCAUGCCGCGUGAAGGAAUAAGGCCCUAUGGGUUGUAAACUUCUUUUAGACGGGACAAAACCCCUUUACGUGUAAAGGGUUGAUGGUACUGUCAGAAUAAGCAUCGGCUAACUUCGUGCCAGCAGCCGCGGUAAUACGAAGGAUGCAAGCGUUAUCCGGAAUUAUUGGGUUUAAAGGGUGCGUAGGCGGACUAAUAAGUCAGUGGCGAAAGCCUGCAGCUUAACUGCAGAAUGGCCAUCGAUACUGUUAGUCUUGAGUACAGUUGAGGUAGGCGGAAUGUGUCAUGUAGCGGUGAAAUGCUUAGAUAUGACACAGAACACCGAUUGCGAAGGCAGCUUGCUAAGCUGUAACUGACGCUGAGGCACGAAAGCGUGGGGAGCAAACA